rnacentral:lncRNA from 1 species
AGAGAUGCUCUAAAAGUGUGAAUCCAAGGGCAGGGGCUUCAGUUGUGCAGCCCUAAAGUUGAUAAAGGUGGCCAGUCCCAGAACUAGAGAAGAGAAGACUGGGUUGAAAACAAGAGUGUCACGUGAAUAAGACUAAACCAGCUUGCUGAAGGAUAAAAAACCAUGAGGAAGAGACCCAAGUCAGCCCAAUUCUCCCUGCUGAAGCCACCUCAGACCAGCCAUACCCCAGCCCACCCACUGAUUGCAGAUUUGUGAAUCAGCCCAGCGAAGAUCAGCCAAGCUGAGUCCAGAACUGCCAAACUAUCC